rnacentral:rRNA from 1 species
GACGAACGCUGGCGGCGUGCCUAACACAUGCAAGUCGAACGGUAAGGCCCUUCGGGGUACAUGAGUGGCGAACGGGUGAGUAACACGUGGGUGAUCUGCCCUGCACUUCGGGAUAAGCCUGGGAAACUGGGUCUAAUACCGGAUAGGACCACUGCCUGCAUGGGUGGUGGUGGAAAGCCUUUGCGGUGUGGGAUGGGCCCGCGGCCUAUCAGCUUGUUGGUGGGGUGAUGGCCUACCAAGGCGACGACGGGUAGCCGGCCUGAGAGGGUGACCGGCCACACUGGGACUGAGAUACGGCCCAGACUCCUACGGGAGGCAGCAGUGGGGAAUAUUGCACAAUGGGCGCAAGCCUGAUGCAGCGACGCCGCGUGAGGGAUGACGGCCUUCGGGUUGUAAACCUCUUUCAGCACCGACGAAGCGCAAGUGACGGUAGGUGCAGAAGAAGGACCGGCCAACUACGUGCCAGCCGCCGCCGUAA